rnacentral:tRNA from 1 species
AAGAAAGUGACAGAGAGGCUAUGUGUCCGACUUGAAAUCGGAAUAUGGGGGUUCGAUUCCUUCCUUUCUCG